rnacentral:misc_RNA from 1 species
GUACCACUCACUGUUCUCAUCCCAUAGAUCCUUGUACUCGUCAAGAAAAUGGGUUGUGUAUUUGUCCUUCAAGGCGUCAAAGAAGGAAGUGUCGGGCUCAUUUGUUGCAAUAUAGAUGUUCCUCCCAUCUUCAAUCUUGUCACCCAAAGUUGAAAGCAGAGCAUCAGGAGAAGUAUCUGCUGCAAGAUUAGGCCAGAGCUCCUUGUUCUUUGCUUUAUCCCCUCUCUCAAUGU